AUUAUGGAUCCAAGAGUAUGAAUACCAAAUUAGCAGGCUGCAUGUACCUCACUCGCCAGGGUGUGGAGGCGCGUCUGACAUUGUUUGGUGGUUUGUUUUCUCUCUUCGAUGUCACCUUGAAGGUUGGAGUGCAGUCUGUGGAUGACUUUGAGUUUUGGUGAUCCCUGUUGGGACUUGGGAGUGCCACCUUGUGAGUGGCUUAGUGUUUUGAAGCUUCUUUGUGAGUUUUAUAGCCUCCUUAGGUUCUAUUUUUUGCAUAUCUUUUCUUUGAGAUCUGUUUUAAGACUGUUUGGGUUGAGCACAAACUUUGGUAUUACUUGGAAGUUGAAAUUUUCAUGUUUUGGGUUCUGUUUUUGCUGUUCAUUUGAGUUCUUGGUUCAAUUAUGUGGGUGUUUGGGUUUGGACAAUCAGCA
rnacentral:misc_RNA from 1 species